UAGCUGCGCAGCCUACACUGCAGUCGUAGCGGGUAACGCGCAAUACGCUGACGACCGGCAAACGGGUGCGGAACACGUACACAACCUUCCUUUUAGUGGGGAAUAGCCCAGAGAAAUUUGGAUUAAUACCCCGUAACAUAAUGGUGUGGCAUCACAUUGUUAUUAUAGGUUUACCGCUAAGAGAUGGGUGUGCGGCUGAUUAGGUAGUUGGCGGAGUAACAGCCCACCAAGCCAACGAUCAGUAGCUGAUGUGAGAGCAUGAUCAGCCACACGGGCACUGAGACACGGGCCCGACUCCUACGGGAGGCAGCAGUAAGGAAUAUUGGACAAUGGACGCAAGUCUGAUCCAGCCAUGCCGCGUGAAGGAUUAAGGCCCUCUGGGUUGUAAACUUCUUUUAUAGGGGACGAAAAAAGGGCUUUCUAGCUCGACUGACGGUACCCUAUGAAUAAGCACCGGCUAACUCCGUGCCAGCAGCCGCGGUAAUCCGGAGGGUGCAAGCGUUAUCCGGAUUCACUGGGUUUAAAGGGUGCGUAGGCGGGCAGUUAAGUCAGUGGUGAAAUCUUCGAGCUCAACUCGGAAACUGCCAUUGAUACUAUCUGUCUUGAAUAUUGUGGAGGUGAGCGGAAUAUGUCAUGUAGCGGUGAAAUGCUUAGAUAUGA
rnacentral:rRNA from 1 species